rnacentral:misc_RNA from 1 species
AAGGAUCAUUACAAAUCCAACGUCCCUUACCGGACCACGUGUAAACCCCCAAGUUAGUGUGUGAAUGCUGGUAGGAGAAAGGAGAAGAGACGAUACCGUCUCCUCUCCUCCUCCUCCUGCCCCACCACUACUAUUUGACCCUACUCUGUGAUACGUUGCACAACAUUACAUUAUCCUCAAUCGUUGAAACAACUUACAACAAUGGAUCUCUAGGCUCUU